UACGGAGGGUGCAAGCGUUAUCCGGAUUCACUGGGUUUAAAGGGUGCGUAGGAGGGCAGGUAAGUCAGUGGUGAAAUCCCCGAGCUUAACUUGGGAACUGCCGUUGAUACUAUCUGUCUUGAAUACCGUGGAGGUGAGCGGAAUAUGUCAUGUAGCGGUGAAAUGCGUAGAUAUCCGGAGGAACACCGGUGGCGAAGGCGGCUUCCUGGACCGACACUGACGCUGAGGCGCGAAAGCUAGGGGAGCAAACGGG
rnacentral:rRNA from 1 species